UGGGGAAUAUUGCACAAUGGGGAAGACCCUGAUGCAGCGACGCCGCGUGAAGGAUGAAGUAUUUCGGUAUGUAAACUUCUAUCAGCAGGGAAGAAAAUGACGGUACCUGACUAAGAAGCCCCGGCUAACUACGUGCCAGCAGCCGCGGUAAUACGUAGGGGGCAAGCGUUAUCCGGAUUUACUGGGUGUAAAGGGAGCGUAGACGGAGCAGCAAGUCUGAAGUGAAAGCCCGCGGCUCAACUGCGGGACUGCUUUGGAAACUGUUCAACUGGAGUGCUGGAGAGGUAAGCGGAAUUCCUAGUGUAGCGGUGAAAUGCGUAGAUAUUAGGAGGAACACCAGUGGCGAAGGCGGCUUACUGGACGGUAACUGACGUUGAGGCUCGAAAGCGUGGGGAGCAACAGGAUUAGAUACC
rnacentral:rRNA from 1 species